rnacentral:rRNA from 1 species
GAUGAACGCUGGCGGCGUGCCUAAUACAUGCAAGUCGAACGGGGAGUAGCUAUACUCUUAGUGUCGACGGGGUGCGUACCGCGUUGGUACCUGCCCGUAAGCGGGGGAUAACGGACCGAAAGGUUCGCUAAUACCCCAUGUGCACGGUAACGGGUAAAGGUGAACACCACUUUGGGAGGGGACUGCGUCCCAUCAGCUAGUUGGUAAGGUAACGGCUUACCAAGGCGAUGACGGGUAGGGGACCUGAGAGGGUGGCCCCCCACAAUGGAACUGAGACACGGUCCAUACACCUACGGGUGGCAGCAGUAGGGAAUAUUGGUAAUGGGCGCAAGCCUGAACCAGCAACGCCGCGUGUGCGAUGACGGCCUUCGGGUUGUAAAGCACUUUUGACUGGGACGAGGAAGGACGGUACCGGUCGAAUCAGCCUCGGCUAACUACGUG